rnacentral:rRNA from 1 species
GAUGAACGCUGGCGGCGUGCUUAACACAUGCAAGUCGAACGAUGAAGCCCAGCUUGCUGGGUGGAUUAGUGGCGAACGGGAGAGUAACACGUGAGUAACCUGCCCUUAACUCUGGGAUAAGCCUGGGAAACUGGGUCUAAUACCGGAUAGGAGCGUCCACCGCAUGGUGGGUGUUGGAAAGAUUUAUCGGUUUUGGAUGGACUCGCGGCCUAUCAGCUUGUUGGUGAGGUAAUGGCUCACCAAGGCGACGACGGGUAGCCGGCCUGAGAGGGUGACCGGCCACACUGGGACUGAGACACGGCCCAGACUCCUACGGGAGGCAGCAGUGGGGAAUAUUGCACAAUGGGCGCAAGCCUGAUGCAGCGACGCCGCGUGAGGGAUGACGGCCUUCGGGUUGUAAACCUCUUUCAGUAGGGAAGAAGCGAAAGUGACGGUACCUGCAGAAGAAGCACCGGCUAACUACGUG